rnacentral:rRNA from 1 species
AUUGAACGCUGGCGGCAGGCCUAACACAUGCAAGUCGCACGAGUGGCGGACGGGUGAGUAAUGUCUUGGAAACUGCCUGAUGGAGGGGGCUAACUCCUGGCAACGUUAGCUAAUACCGCAUACCAUCAGAUGUGCCCAGAUGGGUUUAGCUGGUUGGUGGGGUAAUGGCCAACCAAGGCGACGAUGCCUAGCUGGUCUGCGAGGAUGACCAGGCAGACUGGAACUGAGACACGGACCAGACGCCUACGUGAGGCAGCAGUGGGGAAUAUUGAACAAUGGGCGCAAGCCGGAUGCAGCCAUGCCGCGUGUAUGAAGAAGGCCUUCGGGUUGUAAAGUACUGUAAGCGGGGAGGCGUUACCCGCAGAAGAAGCACCGGCUAACUCCGUGCCAGCCGCCGCGGUAAUAC